rnacentral:rRNA from 1 species
GUGGGGAAUAUUGGGCAAUGGGCGAAAGCCUGACCCAGCAACGCCGCGUGAAGGAAGAAGGUUUUCGGAUUGUAAACUUCUGUCCUCAGGGAAGAAGGACGUGACGGUACCUGAGGAGGAAGCCCCGGCUAACUACGUGCCAGCAGCCGCGGUAAUACGUAGGGGGCGAGCGUUGUCCGGAAUGACUGGGCGUAAAGGGCGCGUAGACGGCUGUCUAAGUCUGGAGUGAAAGUCCUGUUUUCAAGGUGGGAAUUGCUUUGGAGACUGGAUGGCUUGAGUGCGGAAGAGGUAAGUGGAAUUCCCAGUGUAGCGGUGAAAUGCGUAGAGAUUGGGAGGAACACCAGUGGCGAAGGCGACUUACUGGGCCGUAACUGACGUUGAAGCGCGAAAGCGUGGGGAGCGAACAGGAUUAGAAACCCCUGUAGUCC